CUUGGUCAUUUAGAGGAAGUAAAAGUCGUAACAAGGUUUCCGUAGGUGAACCUGCGGAAGGAUCAUUAUUGAAAUUAUAGGUGAGGGUUGUAGCUGGCCUCUCGGGGCAUGUGCACGCCCGAGCCCUUAAUCCACACACACCUGUGAACCUAUUGUAAGGGCCCUUAAAAAAGGCCUUUACGUCUUAUCAUCAACCCAUCGUAUGUCUCAUAGAAUGUAAAUAUAUGUCCUCGCCUUAAAAAGCGUUGAUAAGCUUAUACAACUUUCAACAACGGAUCUCUUGGCUCUCGCACCGAUGAAGAACGCAGCGAAAUGCGAUAAGUAAUGUGAAUUGCAGAUUUUCAGUGAAUCAUCGAAUCUUUGAACGCACCUUGCGCUCCUUGGUAUUCCGAGGAGCAUGCCUGUUUGAGUGUCAUUAAAUUCUCAACUCCGAUCGAUUUGUUUCGACUUCGGAGCUUGGAUUUGGAGCGUGCUGGCGUCGGUCGGCUCCUCUUAAAUGCAUCAGCGGAAUCUAACGUUUCGGAUGUCAGUGUGAUAAUCAUGUUGCGCUGUCUGUCUGAUCCGAAAGCCCGCUCACAAUGGUCUUCGGACAACUUCAUAUCAAAUUUGACCUCAAAUCAGGUAGGACUACCCGCUGAACUUAAGCAUAUCAAUAAGCGGAGGA
rnacentral:rRNA from 1 species